AAAUGUGAGGCCGAUCUGGCUGCGACAUCUGUCACCCCAUCGAUUGCUAGGGUUGAUUCAGCUCAUCUGGCUGGCUAGGGAGGGGUCCCCUUCUUCCCUCACUGCUCCAUGUGCAUCCCUCCAGAAGGUGCGCACUCAGUCAAGGAGGACAAAGAGGACGUCCAUCCCGACAGAGGAGGCCUGGUUCCUGGGUCAAGCCUAUAUGAGUAGGUGCACUCUGGUGCUAGACCCUCCAAACGAGCUCUCAGGAUUGACUUACUCUUGUACUUUUCUCUGUAGAUUUACUCCCAAAUGAAAACUGAAAAAGAAAAAUUCAAAGAAAUUGACUACUGUGUUU
rnacentral:snRNA from 1 species